rnacentral:lncRNA from 1 species
CUGAACACAAAAUGGCGACACGUGGUUAGCAUUCGUCGCCAACGAGAAAUUGGGGUCGGCCCGAAAGCUCUAGAAUGCACCCCUCUUCCUCCCCGGGGCCUUCCACCUCCGCGAGUUUUAUGACUUAAAAAAGCCCACAGGCUGGUCUGAAGAGGAAGACAAACAUAAAGAUGAAGUGCUUAAUUCAAGGUCACACAAUGUCGGGGAUGGACCUCCAGAUUUCCUUACUGGAAAACAAGCUCAGGGCUCCCACUGAUUGUACAUUAUGAGACGGAGUCUUGCUAUGUUGCCCAGGCUGGUCUUGAACUCCUCACCUCAAGCGAUCCUCCCGUCUUGGCCUCCCAAGUGUCAGGAUUACGGGCAUGUGCUAUCACACCCAACCUGAUACAUUGCCUUUAUAAAUUUUUUUUUCUUUAUUCUAAAAACCAGAAAAAACAAAACUGGAUACAUGUGCAGAACAUGCAGACCAAGUGUGUUGGGGACUUGAGAUGCGUACAUGAGUGUGAUGUUUCCUGCUGAAAGCACAGGUGAGACGUGGUCUUGUAACACAGUGGUUAAGAAUGUGACUUUGGAGCCAGCCUGCUAGGGGCUGAAUUCUGACUCAGCCAUUUACUAACUGUGUGACCUUAGGUGGAGUCUCACUCUGUAGCCCAAGCUGGAGUGGCGUGAUCUCGACUCACUGCAACCUCCGCCUCCUGGGAUCAAGUGAUUCUCGUGCCUCAGCCUCCUGAGUAGCCGGGACUACAGGUCACAGAAUUUUCCACACUCCUUGACAGAGGUGCUUAACCCUUAUCCAUCAGCAUUCUCAGACAGCACCUCCGGUUAGGGACAGUAUCUGACCGUCCGACAUCCCUGCAGCCCCCAUGUGUCACACAGACUCAGCCUCAGGUAGAUGGUUUCCGUAGAUGGUGGCUUUCUUUGGACCCUUGACAUCAACCAGUUACUAUUUGGUCUAGGGGUCUCACCAACGCUGCUCAUCUAGCAGGGCCACACAUAACAAAUAGAAGCAGAGCAAGCCCUGGAACUCCUGCCUGACAGUGACACGACGACAGAAACAUCUUACCAGUCAGAGGACCAUGAGAAAUAGAUUCAAGGAGCAUUCCACGUGCAAGUGAGUCUUGGCCCCAUCUGCCUUUGGAUUUUAGCCGUGAACUGGAAGGUAUUGGAAAGAAGACCCUCAGAAAUAGCUUAAUCAAAAUCCCUGCGUCUGAACCAAGUGCCUUAUUUCUCUGUGGGCCUCAAGCUUCGCUGACAUCUGUGGAGCACACUGUCCUAACAGGAGUGCUGUCUGAUUUCCCAACGCUCUGCAAAACAAACAGCCUGGAAGGGUGGCUGGUGGAAGGUGGUUUUUAGAGAGAGACUUGUAGAUAACAGGAAAGUGAAGGCUGUAAGGAAGGUUGUAAUUAAACAGCACAUGGAAACACAA